AUAAGUAUGUCAAAGGCACGCAGCUUUUUCAUGACAAAAGUCAAUGAGGAGGCUGUGUUACCUUGAAAUGUCGACGAACAGAUUGAUCGUGUACCUAAUAAACGAACCAUGCGUAUGAGUCUGUAGAUAAGGUUUCUUAUCAACUAAUAAGGAAUUCUCUCACAGACCUACGGUGCAAAUCCUAUCCCCGAUUGGCAAAUUUCAAAAAGUAAUCGGCUUGAGGUGUGGAGGGCUGGAGGAGGGGUCAACAUCAAAAUGGAGUUGUCGUCCUCAAAAUUUCUCGACCCGCAGAGUCCCACAAGACAAUUUACAAUACCUAAUGAUAAAAAAUCAUAAGAUUUUGUUAAAUCGUCUUUGGUCAAAUCUUACGAACCUAAUACUUAAGUACCUGGUUAUCACGAAGUUUUGCAACCCGCAAGACGUAGGUACUAUAUAUUUAAACUGAGAAAAAAUAUGCCUGUUUAUGACAAAAUUGUCAUGAAUGAACUACGUGGGGUGGGUUUCUUUGGAAGCAGGGAGGCGACGAAUGUAGAUGAAGAAAAGAAAACUGAAUGCAUUCAUUUUCUCCGUAAUGCACUUAUGGAAGAAUUAUUAUUUUUUUAAGUUCUUAAAGAGGAAAAUCGGUCUAAUUUCAAAUUUGCCGCUCAGAGAGCAGCACCGACCAAACAACCAAUAAUCUUGAUCUUGAAUCUGAUUGGCUCCUUUCCCCUUCCCCUCCUUCGACUUUGUUUUGUUUACUAAUUUCUUCCAAAAGUGAGGUUAUACAUGUAAGCAUGCUUAUCAUGCCACUAAGCAGUCAUAAUUUGGUAGGAACUAUCCCUGAUCUUGUUUUGUAGUUCGAAAUCUUUUAACUUCAUAAUUUAAGAACAGAUGUUUACAUUUUAGUUUAUUGAAAUUCGUUGCUGAGAUGAACUUACCUGAAAAUUUUCGCUCAGUCGUGGGCAUAGUUCUCAACAACUGGACUGCGUUAAAGCUGUCAAUAUCGCAUGGGUAUGGUGGCACUCCUAUGGAAACGAACGCCAAAGUUCAGGAUUUAAUUAACAUGAUCGAUGAAGGAUUUACCACAAACAGUUUUGAAGAUUGGGGUGACUUGUGUGACCUCUUGAGCGAUUAUAUGGACCAAGUCUUCCAUACCCUAAUUGAAGAUAAUUCAGAUGAAGAAUUGGGAACGAAGCUUCAAGAGUUAUAUCACCAGUGGUCAAACGCAAAACAUAAUGAUUUACUCGAUUAUUUAUCCUCAUUACCGAUUCAAGAAUCAAUUGAAAGAGCUCCACCUCAGAUCAAUGCUCAGCCAAAUUACAAUAAUGAUGAUGAUAGUGAUGAUGACGAUGAUGAUGGAGGAGGUGAUAGCAGCAGCAAAGGGGCUGGAAAUAGUCGUACUCUCUAUCAAGGAAACAAUAGUCACUCUUCAGGAAAUGGGGGUGGCUCCAGUGUGGAUGCAGAUGGUUGGCAAGUGUGCCACAACCGACGGCAUCGAUAA
rnacentral:lncRNA from 1 species